rnacentral:rRNA from 1 species
GACGAAGGGGGCUAGCGUUGUUCGGAAUUACUGGGCGUAAAGCGCGUGUAGGCGGUUAUCCAAGUCGGGUGUGAAAACUCCGGGCUCAACUCGGAGACGCCACUCGAUACUGCCAUGACUCGAGUCCGGUAGGGGAGUGCGGAAUUCCUGGUGUAGCGGUGAAAUGCGCAGAUAUCAGGAGGAACACCGGUGGCGAAGGCGGCACUCUGGGCCGGUACUGACGCUGAGGAGCGAAAGCGUGGGGAGCGAACAGG